rnacentral:rRNA from 1 species
AGUAGAACGCUGAAGCUUGGUGCUUGCACCGAGCGGAUGAGUUGCGAACGGGUGAGUAACGCGUAGGUAACCUGCCUCUUAGCGGGGGAUAACUAUUGGAAACGAUAGCUAAUACCGCAUAAAAGUCGAUAUCGCAUGAUAUUGAUUUGAAAGGUGCAAUUGCAUCACUAAGAGAUGGACCUGCGUUGUAUUAGCUAGUUGGUGAGGUAACGGCUCACCAAGGCGACGAUACAUAGCCGACCUGAGAGGGUGAUCGGCCACACUGGGACUGAGACACGGCCCAGACUCCUACGGGAGGCAGCAGUAGGGAAUCUUCGGCAAUGGGGGCAACCCUGACCGAGCAACGCCGCGUGAGUGAAGAAGGUUUUCGGAUCGUAAAGCUCUGUUGUAAGAGAAGAACGAGUGUGAGAGUGGAAAGUUCACACUGUGACGGUAACUUACCAGAAAGGGACGGCUAACUACGUGCCAGCAGCCGCGGUAAUACGUAGGUCCCGAGCGUUAUCCGGAUUUAUUGGGCGUAAAGCGAGCGCAGGCGGUUAGAUAAGUCUGAAGUUAAAGGCUGUGGCUUAACCAUAGUACGCUUUGGAAACUGUUUAACUUGAGUGCAGAAGGGGAGAGUGGAAUUCCAUGUGUAGCGGUGAAAUGCGUAGAUAUAUGGAGGAACACCGGUGGCGAAAGCGG